rnacentral:rRNA from 1 species
AGCCCAGAGCCUGAAUCAGUGUGUGUGUUAGUGGAAGCGUCUGGAAAGGCGCGCGAUACAGGGUGACAGCCCCGUACACAAAAAUGCACAUAUUGUGAGCUCGAUGAGUAGGGCGGGACACGUGGUAUCCUGUCUGAAUAUGGGGGGACCAUCCUCCAAGGCUAAAUACUCCUGACUGACCGAUAGUGAACCAGUACCGUGAGGGAAAGGCGAAAAGAACCCCGGCGAGGGGAGUGAAAAAGAACCUGAAACCGUGUACGUACAAGCAGUGGGAGCACGCUUAGGCGUGUGACUGCGUACCUUUUGUAUAAUGGGUCAGCGACUUAUAUUCUGUAGCAAGGUUAACCGAAUAGGGGAGCCGAAGGGAAACCGAGUCUUAACUGGGCGUUAAGUUGCAGGGUAUAGACCCGAAACCCGGUGAUCUAGCCAUGGGCAGGUUGAAGGUUGGGUAACACUAACUGGAGGACCGAACCGACUAAUGUUGAAAAAUUAGCGGAUGACUUGUGGCUGGGGGUGAAAGGCCAAUCAAACCGGGAGAUAGCUGGUUCUCCCCGAAAGCUAUUUAGGUAGCGCCUCGUGAAUUCAUCUCCGGGGGUAGAGCACUGUUUCGGCAAGGGGGUCAUCCCGACUUACCAACCCGAUGCAAACUGCGAAUACCGGAGAAUGUUAUCACGGGAGACACACGGCGGGUGCUAACGUCCGUCGUGAAGAGGGAAACAACCCAGACCGCCAGCUAAGGUCCCAAAGUCAUGGUUAAGUGGGAAACGAUGUGGGAAGGCCCAGACAGCCAGGAUGUUGGCUUAGAAGCAGCCAUCAUUUAAAGAAAGCGUAAUAGCUCACUGGUCGAGUCGGCCUGCGCGGAAGAUGUAACGGGGCUAAACCAUGCACCGAAGCUGCGGCAGCGACGCUUAUGCGUUGUUGGGUAGGGGAGCGUUCUGUAAGCCUGCGAAGGUGUGCUGUGAGGCAUGCUGGAGGUAUCAGAAGUGCGAAUGCUGACAUAAGUAACGAUAAAGCGGGUGAAAAGCCCGCUCGCCGGAAGACCAAGGGUUCCUGUCCAACGUUAAUCGGGGCAGGGUGAGUCGACCCCUAAGGCGAGGCCGAAAGGCGUAGUCGAUGGGAAACAGGUUAAUAUUCCUGUACUUGGUGUUACUGCGAAGGGGGGACGGAGAAGGCUAUGUUGGCCGGGCGACGGUUGUCCCGGUUUAAGCGUGUAGGCUGGUUUUCCAGGCAAAUCCGGAAAAUCAAGGCUGAGGCGUGAUGACGAGGCACUACGGUGCUGAAGCAACAAAUGCCCUGCUUCCAGGAAAAGCCUCUAAGCAUCAGGUAACAUCAAAUCGUACCCCAAACCGACACAGGUGGUCAGGUAGAGAAUACCAAGGCGCUUGAGAGAACUCGGGUGAAGGAACUAGGCAAAAUGGUGCCGUAACUUCGGGAGAAGGCACGCUGAUAUGUAGGUGAAGUCCCUUGCGGAUGGAGCUGAAAUCAGUCGAAGAUACCAGCUGGCUGCAACUGUUUAUUAAAAACACAGCACUGUGCAAACACGAAAGUGGACGUAUACGGUGUGACGCCUGCCCGGUGCCGGAAGGUUAAUUGAUGGGGUCAGCGCAAGCGAAGCUCUUGAUCGAAGCCCCGGUAAACGGCGGCCGUAACUAUAACGGUCCUAAGGUAGCGAAAUUCCUUGUCGGGUAAGUUCCGACCUGCACGAAUGGCGUAAUGAUGGCCAGGCUGUCUCCACCCGAGACUCAGUGAAAUUGAACUCGCUGUGAAGAUGCAGUGUACCCGCGGCAAGACGGAAAGACCCCGUGAACCUUUACUAUAGCUUGACACUGAACAUUGAGCCUUGAUGUGUAGGAUAGGUGGGAGGCUUGGAAGUGUGGACGCCAGUCUGCAUGGAGCCGACCUUGAAAUACCACCCUUUAAUGUUUGAUGUUCUAACGUUGACCCGUAAUCCGGGUUGCGGACAGUGUCUGGUGGGUAGUUUGACUGGGGCGGUCUCCUCCUAAAGAGUAACGGAGGAGCACGAAGGUUGGCUAAUCCUGGUCGGACAUCAGGAGGUUAGUGCAAUGGCAUAAGCCAGCUUGACUGCGAGCGUGACGGCGCGAGCAGGUGCGAAAGCAGGUCAUAGUGAUCCGGUGGUUCUGAAUGGAAGGGCCAUCGCUCAACGGAUAAAAGGUACUCCGGGGAUAACAGGCUGAUACCGCCCAAGAGUUCAUAUCGACGGCGGUGUUUGGCACCUCGAUGUCGGCUCAUCACAUCCUGGGGCUGAAGUAGGUCCCAAGGGUAUGGCUGUUCGCCAUUUAAAGUGGUACGCGAGCUGGGUUUAGAACGUCGUGAGACAGUUCGGUCCCUAUCUGCCGUGGGCGCUGGAGAACUGAGGGGGGCUGCUCCUAGUACGAGAGGACCGGAGUGGACGCAUCACUGGUGUUCGGGUUGUCAUGCCAAUGGCACUGCCCGGUAGCUAAAUGCGGAAGAGAUAAGUGCUGAAAGCAUCUAAGCACGAAACUUGCCCCGAGAUGAGUUCUCCCUGAC